rnacentral:misc_RNA from 1 species
GCGGCUAAUAGAAAUAAAAACUUUUCAAACAUUCAGACGUGAAGAAUAUAAAGGCCAAUAAACCUGCAAAAUUGAGCUUACAUAGGGCGGGUGAAGGGGAAAACAACAAAAAGAUUAAUCAUGAAUUCACAGUGAAAGUACCAAGAAAACAUACUUAGCUCAGAGUUUAGUAACCCAGAGGCAGUCAGCUCAGAGUUUGGUAACCCAGAGGCCCCUGCAAACCAUCUUGUCCUGUGUCAUUCCUUCCCAGUAUAGAUGGUAUCCAUGGGAAAAGUUUCCCCAGCUCCUUGCUUAUUGCACUGGGCUUCAGAUGGCUAUCAUUGAUCCCAAACUUCGCUCUUUCGAGAGCUUCCAUUAUAUCUUCCCUUGUUACAGUCACACCACCCCUCCGUGCAGCAAGUAAAGCAGCUUCAUUGACAAUGUUUGCAAGAUCAGCUCCUACAAGACCUGGGGUCAAAGAAGCAACUAGAUCACAUAUGAGAUCUGUGUCUUCUUCUACAGGAACUCCUCUCAAAUGAACAGCCAAGAUCUUUUUCCUUCCUUCUUCAUCAGGUUCUCCUACAAGUACCUUCCUUGAGAAUCGACCAGGCCUACAAAGGGCAGGAUCCAGUGCUUCUCGUCUGUUAGUUGCUGCAACAACAACCACUUUCAUAUCCGACUCAAAUCCAUCCAUUUCUGUCAGCAACUG